rnacentral:lncRNA from 1 species
GAACUCCCAGAGCACCUCCUUAGCAUCAUGGAGUUUGGCUGAGGUUGGGAAGGCAGACAGCUGACAGAGUAGGGACAAGAACAGCAUUUCCCCAUCGGGGAACUCAGCCACCUCCUGAGCAAACAGGAAUGCACAACUGAACUUUGCAUUGACUUUCAAUAUAUAUAACCUGUUCUUAAGUGAGUGAAUGAGGGAAUGGUGGUCAGGAAAGGAGCCAAGUCUGAGAAGCCUCAUUGUGGGAGGGAUGGGGGAGGAGAGGGGAGGGGAGAUGGGCACAAAAUCAGCGUCAGGAAGAUUGCAGGAUUCUCACUGCAGAACAAAAUAACCAAAGCUAUUUCUUUUUGUCCGCUACUCUUCCACAGGUCCAAAGGGGCACUGCCAUGGAGGUGGGCACCCUCCUGGCCCUGGGCACCACCCUGGAGGUGGCCCCCCCCCUGGCCCUGGGCCCUGUCCUGGGAAGGGCCACCCCCCAGGGCCUCCUGGUCCACAUCACUGAAGAAACCGAAGAAACAAACCAAGAAUGGGGUGCCUGACCUGGCAUGAGUUCUGAACCAGAAUCUUCUGUUCAAAAUAAUCAGCCUCCUGGAGGCCAUGUUCUCCUCUUAAAAGAGCCUGUCUUUCUUCACAUCCAACCCAGUCCUCAGUCCAGUUGUCUCUGAGUUCCCUAGUUCGAAAAAUAGGGCCCAGUCAGGCUUUCUCAGAUGUUUGACUCAUUGGUGUCCAUAGCAUAUUAAUGUCACCCCUCCCUUUUGUUUUCACUUCUGUCCCACCCCCCAUCAAAAGGCCCCAAGUAGGGCCUUAUCACCUCUACCCCAUCACACAUACCCAGGGCUGGUGGGCCUUCCAGGGUUCCUCUUGCUGGCCUCACUACAAUUCAGAAGCCUUCAGUGGAUUGCUACUGUCCACAAGUUAUUUCUCACUAUCCCCUGAAAAUACUUUCCAGACUCCUUAACUCUGCCCAGUUUACCCACUACCACCACAUCCGCCCCUCCCCAGGAAUGCCUUCCUUCCAAGCCACCAUCAACAUACAGCCUUCUCUAAAGCCUGUUAGAGUAAGAAGUCCUUUCUGUGCACACUGCCCUCUUUUCUGAAGCUUUUAUCAACCAUCACAUGGGCCCAACCACAGCCUACCCAAUUGGCACCAAUUAACUGGCUGGCUUUUUAUCUCUUCAGCCAAAACAAGCUACUCAGGGCUGGGUCAACACUUCUGCACUUCUAGACUCUCCCACCCUCAUUGCCUACUGGUCUAUGCCUUGCAUAGAGUGGUAUCUGCACACAGUUUAGGGAUACCCAUAGUCGAAGCAUCUCUGGGUUCUAACUCUUCCCCCAGCCACAUUCUUCAACCAAGGCACCUCCCACACAGAGACAGCAUGCCUGGUAUGAAACCCCUUCUGCUCGCCCAAAUCACAUCUAGGAUCCUCUCCACUCUGCAACUCCCAGGCUUUUCACACUGCUCAAAUCUAAUCUAGUGCUACCACAGCCCUCUAGCCAGGCCUGUCCACUACUCAUCACACCUCCUCUCUCUCACAGUCAUUGCCUGACG